UACGGGGGGGGCAAGCGUUGUUCGGAAUUACUGGGCGUAAAGGGCGCGUAGGCGGCCUGCUAAGUCACACGUGAAAUCCCUCGGCUCAACCGGGGAACUGCGUGUGAUACUGGCGGGCUUGAAUUCGGGAGAGGGAUGUGGAAUUCCAGGUGUAGCGGUGAAAUGCGCAGAUAUCAGGAGGAACACCGGUGGCGAAGGCGGGUCUCUGGGCCGAUACUGACGCUGAGGAGCGAAAGCGUGGGGAGCGAACAGG
rnacentral:rRNA from 1 species